GUUAAUAUGAAUCACGUGACCAGUUUUAUGUUCAUAACUCAAUUUCGACAUGAUUGUGGUUUGGAACGUUUUCCUGGAAUUACGUCCAAUUUAUCUUGACAAAUAUUGACGACACACACAAUGUAUAAUAAGAAAAUAAAUCUGAUUUGAUACUGGGCACCGGUCAUUACUUUAAUCACUUGUAAAUUCGUUAACACCGAUCAAAUGACACACUCGAAGCUUGGUGGUCUACUGCAACGUGACAUUUGCGAGUUGUGGUGCCCCUUCCACAGAAGCCACUAGAAAGAAUAGAAAAAUAUGUUCGCAAAUAAUUCUUACCAUGUAAACUUUGACAUGUUCAAUACUCGUAUUAUAUCUUCGGUUUGUUCUCUAGUAUCUUCAAUGUCUCCUGAAUUGUCAAUUACAAAGUCAGACAUCGCAAUUUUCUGGUCAAGUGGCAUCUGACAUUUGAUUCUUUGUAUGGCCCUCGCUUCUGUUACUUCAUUACGAUUUCGCAGCCUCUCCAACUGUUGAUCAUCAUCACUAAAACAGAUUUGAAUAAUAGGCAUGAUACCAGUACAUACUAUAGAAUCAUACUUUUUAUAACAAUAUGAUUGCGAGUAAGAUAUGGCAUUUAUUAUUUUGGAAAUAAUAUAGUUCUGAUACUGAUUUUAAUCCAUUUAAAGUGUUUUAAUUUACUAUGUGUACUCUUGUUGAUAAAACAAUAAUAGUAUCUACUAUUAAUCUAUACAAAUAAAUAAAAUUGGAAUGUU